rnacentral:rRNA from 1 species
GACGAACGCUGGCGGCGUGCUUAACACAUGCAAGUCGAACGAAGUGGCGAACGGGUGAGUAACGCGUAAUCAACCUGCCCUUCAGAGGGGGAUAACAGUAGGAAAUGACUGCUAAUACCGCAUACUGAAGGAGGGGAUUGCGUCUGAUUAGCUAGUUGGAGGGGUAACGGCCCACUAAGGCGAUGAUCAGGAGCCGGUCUGGGGAGAGGGACGGCCCAAUUGGGACAGGGACACGGGCCAAUCUCCUACGGGACGCAGCAGUGGGGAAUCUGCCGCAAUGGACGAAAGGCUGACGGAGCAACGCCGCGUGAGGGAUGACAGCCUUCGGGUUGUAAAGCUCUGUUAAUCGGGCAGCGGUACCGAAAUAGAAAGCCACGGCUAACUACGUGCCAGCAGCCGCGGUAAUAC